rnacentral:rRNA from 1 species
UCAUUGGGUAUUUUAAAAACCUAAAGGCGUAAAUAACUUAACUUUAUUUUAUUAUAUGGGAUUAAUUAUAUAAAUUUUAAAUUUUAUAUAUUCCAUCCUGGGGCGUUCUAUAUAGUUAUGUAUAUAUAUAAUAUUUAUUUAAACAUUUAUAUUAUUUUAUAUACCUCUAACUGGAGCGUACCUUGAGCAUAUAUGUUGUGACCCGAAAGAUGGUGAACUAUACCUGAUCAGGUAGAAGUCAGGGGAAACCCUGAUGGAAGACCGAAACAGUUCUGACGUGCAAAUCGAUUGUCAGAAUUGGGUAUAGCGGCGAAAGACCAAUCGAACCAUCUAGUAGCUGGUUCCCUCCGAAGUUUCCCUCAGGAUAGCUGGUGCAUAUAAAUAUUAUUUAAAAAUAAUCUUAUCUGGUAAAGCGAAUGAUUAGAGGCCUUAGGGCCGAAACGACCUUAACCUAUUCUCAAACUUUAAAUGGGUAAGAACCUAACCUUUCUUGAUAUGAAGGUAUAGGUUAUGAUAUAUUGUGCCCAGUGGGCCAUUUUUGGUAAGCAGAACUGGCGCUGUGGGAUGAACCAAACGUGAUGUUAAGGCGCCAAAAUUAACAACUCAUACCGAUACCAUGAAAGGCGUUGGUUGCUUAAAACAGCAGGACGGUGGGCAUGGAAGUCGUAAUCCGCUAAGGAGUGUGUAACAACUCACCUGCCGAAGCAACUAGCCCUUAAAAUGGAUGGCGCUCAAGUUGUAUGCCUAUACAUCACCGUUAAAGUAAAUGAUUUAUAAUAUAUUUUAUAUAUAUAUAUAAAUUUUGAAACUUUAAUGAGUAGGAGGGUACAAUGAUGUGCAUAGAAGUGUUUAUCGUAAGAUUGCAUGGAGCCAUCAUUGGUACAGAUCUUGGUGGUAGUAGCAAAUAAUCGAAUGAGACCUUGGAGGACUGAAGUGGAGAAGGGUUUCGUGUGAACAGUGGUUGAUCACGAGUUAGUCGGUCCUAAGUUCAAGGCGAAAGCUGAUAAAUGAUAAGUUAUAUAUAAUUUAUAUUAAAUAUACACUUUAUUAUUAUUGAACGAAAGGGAAUACGGUUCCAAUUCCGUAACCUGUUGAGUAUACGUUUGUUAUUAAAAAUGGGCUAUUUAAUGCUCAUCCUGGCAACAGAAACAACCAUAAAGAAGCCGUCGAGAAAUAUCGAAAGAGUUUUCUUUUCUGUUUUAUAGUCGUACUACCAUGGAAGUCUUUCGAAGAGAGAUAUGGUAGAUGGACUAGAAGAGCAUGGCAUUUACUGCUGUGUCGAUAUUUUCUCCUCGGACCUUGAAAAUUUAUGGUGGGGUUACGCAAACUUCUUAACAGGCG